CUUAUACUCCCUCCGUCCCAAAAUUCUUGUCUUAGAUUUGUCUAGAUACGGAUGUAUCUAAUACUAAAAUGUAACUAGAUACAUCCGUAUUUAGACAAAUCUAAGACAAGAAUUUUGGGACAGAGGGAGUAUUUA
rnacentral:pre_miRNA from 1 species